rnacentral:lncRNA from 1 species
GUGCAUUUGGAGCUCAAAAGAAGUGUUUAAAGCGAUCAUUGGACGAGCAGAGCAGGGGAGCGAGGUUCCGCAGCGACGUCAUGAGGUAGCUCCAAAGCACCUCUCAGAGCGACCUAGCUGGAGCGACCCCGUGAAGUCGCUCGCCAUACUCACCCCGUGAAGCGACUUGCCCAGAGCGACCUCCCGGAGCGACAUCACGAAGUCGCUGUGUCCCACUU